rnacentral:rRNA from 1 species
UACAGAGGCCUCGAGCGUUAGGCGGAAUCACUGGGCUUAAAGGGUGCGCAGGCGGUUGGGUGUGUCAGAUGUGAAAUCCCGAGGCUUAACCUCGGAACUGCGUCUGAAACUACUCGACUAGAGUACUGGAGAGGGAAACGGAAUUCACGGUGUAGCAGUGAAAUGCGUAGAUAUCGUGAGGAACACCAGUGGCGAAGGCGAGUCCCUGGACAACACCUGACACUGAGGCACGAAAGCGUGGGGAGCAAACAGG